rnacentral:rRNA from 1 species
GAUGAACGCUGGCGGCGUGCCUAAUACAUGCAAGUCGAGCGAACGGACGAGAAGCUUGCUUCUCUGAUGUUAGCGGCGGACGGGUGAGUAACACGUGGAUAACCUACCUAUAAGACUGGGAUAACUUCGGGAAACCGGAGCUAAUACCGGAUAAUAUUUUGAACCGCAUGGUUCAAAAGUGAAAGACGGUCUUGCUGUCACUUAUAGAUGGAUCCGCGCUGCAUUAGCUAGUUGGUAAGGUAACGGCUUACCAAGGCAACGAUGCAUAGCCGACCUGAGAGGGGGAUCGGCCACACUGGGACUGAGACACGGUCCAGACUCCUACGGGAGGCAGCAGUAGGGAAUCUUCCGCAAUGGGCGAAAGCCUGACGGAGCAACGCCGCGUGAGUGAUGAAGGUCUUCGGAUCGUAAAACUCUGUUAUUAGGGAAGAACAUAUGUGUAAGUAACUGUGCACAUCUUGACGGUACCUAAGCAGAAAGCCACGGCUAACUACGU